GUGUCAGCCGCCGCGGUAAUACGGAGGAUGCAAGCGUUAUCCGGAAUGAUUGGGCGUAAAGCGUCCGCAGGUGGCUGUGUAAGUCUGCUGUUAAAGCGUCUGGCUUAACCAGAUACAAGCAGUGGAAACUACACAGCUAGAGUGCGUUCGGGGCAGAGGGAAUUCCUGGUGUAGCGGUGAAAUGCGUAGAUAUCAGGAAGAACACCGGUGGCGAAAGCGCUCUGCUAGGCCGCAACUGACACUGAGGGACGAAAGCUAGGGGAGCGAAUGGGAUUAGAUACCCCAGUAGUCCUAGCCGUAAACGAUGGAUACUAGGCGUGGCUUGUAUCGACCCGAGCCGUGCCGUAGCUAACGCGUUAAGUAUCCCGCCUGGGGAGUACGCACGCAAGUGUGAAACUUAAAUGAAUUGACGGGG
rnacentral:rRNA from 1 species